rnacentral:lncRNA from 1 species
AUGUAGUUCAGGUUGGCUUUGAACUUGCUCAGCCCAGGCUGGCCUCGAAUUCAGGGCAAUCCUCUGGCCUCAGCCUCCAGAGUGCUGGGAUCACAGGCGUUUGGCACCACUCCUGGCUUUUUCAUUUUUAAAUUUUGAGACAGGGUCGCCCUAAAUUCCCCAGACAGGAGUCAAAGUUGCGAUCCUCCUGGUAUUACAGGCAUGCACCACAGCGCUCAGCUUAAGUACUUGACUGCGUUUCGUGCCACCCUUUACCCCUUAAGAGUAAGGAGUGGCCUAUCGAAUGUUUUUUGUUACCGGGGAUCAAACUCGAGACCUUGCGCUUGCGAGGCAGGUGGCGUCACCACUGAGCUAAAUCCCUGGCCCCCACUGAGUGUUUCAACAGAGGUACUAAAUGCAUGUCUGGCUGAUGAUCGAAACUGAGGCUUAUUUUGGGGAUAGGGCUUCUAUUAUGAGCAUCCUGAAAAAUCAUGCUAGGGCUUAUUUUCUGGAUCGGUCUUAUUUGCAGGAAAUUCAGUAGUACAAUGGUCCCUCCUUAUCCACAGGGUAGGUUCCAAGCCCCCUGGGGAACACCUGAGGCCAUAGAAAGUACCGAACCCUAUGUAGGCUGUUUUUCCUUUGUGCAGAGUAAGUCACCAGUAUAAGAGGCUGCUGUUUUGGACCAAGCUCCUACACUGGGUGCCAACAGACAAACUACAAAUGGAGUCCCUGUGCUGAAGUUCCAUCUCAUCGAGCCCAAAAUGAUUUAUCUGACUUUUCAAGAAAGCAGGAGAGGCUGGGAGCAGAUGUGGGGUCUUGGCGCAUGCGUGCCAAACUGUACCCAGCUUGUCCUACAGAACUGCUGCACUCGACACUCCUGCCAUGUCCUGCAGAUGUGGGCUUUCUAUACCCUGAAGAAAGGCAGUGGGAGGACUGAUCACCCUCCAAUAAUAGAAAAUGAGAAGACACUUAAGCAAGAUGCAACCCCAAACUUUCAGCUCACCAAAGGCAAACCCAGAGAGCAAUGAAGUGGAACAAUUUGAAACAUACUGAGCUGGACUCUCUAAAGUGGUAAGAGCAGAAGUAACAAAGCAGAUGAAUGAGGCUGAAAAAUAAAUCAAAU